rnacentral:rRNA from 1 species
GAUGAACGCUGGCGGCGUGCCUAACACAUGCAAGUCGAACGGAGCUGCUUUGAUGAAGUUUUCGGAUGGAUUUAAAGCAGCUUAGUGGCGGACGGGUGAGUAACGCGUGGGUAACCUGCCCCAGACCGGGGGAUAACAGUCGGAAACGACUGCUAAUACCGCAUAAGCGCACAGUGCCGCAUGGCACGGUGUGAAAAACUCCGGUGGUCUGGGAUGGACCCGCGUCCGAUUAGUUAGUUGGUGGGGUAACGGCCCACCAAGACUGCGAUCGGUAGCCGACCUGAGAGGGUGACCGGCCACAUUGGGACUGAGACACGGCCCAGACUCCUACGGGAGGCAGCAGUGGGGAAUAUUGCACAAUGGAGGAAACUCUGAUGCAGCGACGCCGCGUGAGCGAAGAAGUAUUUCGGUAUGUAAAGCUCUGUCAGCAGGGAAGAUAAUGACGGUACCUGACCAAGAAGCCCGGCUAACUACGUG